GAAAGAAGGAAACUAGCUCGGACCGUGCAGGUUUGUAGGUCUGUUGGCCUGUAGGUUUCGGCACAAGUCUCAGCGAGAGAAGGAGAAAACUGCCUUGGUUGGAACCUUGCAGGUCAGUGUGAAGGUGGGAUUAGCCCAGGACCAUGGGUGGGGGUGGCGGAGGAGGGGGGCUGGGAUAUGAGAGGGCCAGGUCCGAGUCGCCCUCUCCUGGCCCCUUCUUUCUCCACACCCACUCCCAUUUCAGUGCAGGGAAAGGGGUGUGGCGGCCUUUGCUGGGGAAAUGGCGGACGACAAGUGGGGCGGGGGAGGCCUGCGUCCGGAAAGUCAGUAGAGUAUGAGAAAUAUUUUAAACUCAAGUGCCUAAAAUUCACAAAAACAGAAAUUGGGACCUGUGUCCUCAGUUCAUCCACUACACUUUCAUUUCUCCAUUGCCGCCUACCUAUCUUUGCAUUUGUCCUUCUGCCAGACUCUAUCCUCUAUCACCGUGGAGGGACCACUGACAACAGAAGACAAGGGAAAACGAAGGAAUUUAUCUGACUUUGGUAGAGGUUAAUGAGAGAAACUGCCCUUAAUCUUUGGGGGUGGAGGUCUGGUGUAGGAGACUACCUGAGAGGUACUCACACUGUCACCCUCCUAGCUAUCAUAGCAGAGACCCAUCUCCUGCCCUUCCCUGUGGACCCAGGAAGAGAAAUGGGGGCUCCUGAGGUCGAUAGAGGAAGACAGAAAAGAACAAAGAAGUUGUAUCCUG
rnacentral:sRNA from 1 species